AUUGAACGCUGGCGGCAUGCCUUACACAUGCAAGUCGAACGGCAGCAUGGAGAGCUUGCUCUCUGAUGGCGAGUGGCGAACGGGUGAGUAAUGCAUCGGAACGUACCGUGUAAUGGGGGAUAACGUAGCGAAAGUUACGCUAAUACCGCAUACGACCUGAGGGUGAAAGCAGUGGAUCGCAAGACCUUGCGUUAUACGAGCGGCCGAUGUCAGAUUAGCUAGUUGGUGAGGUAAAGGCUCACCAAAGCGACGAUCUGUAGCGGGUCUGAGAGGAUGAUCCGCCACACUGGGACUGAGACACGGCCCAGACUCCUACGGGAGGCAGAAGUGGGGAAUUUUGGACAAUGGGGGCAACCCUGAUCCAGCCAUGCCGCGUGAGUGAAGAAGGCCUUCGGGUUGUAAAGCUCUUUCGGCCGGGAAGAAAUCGCACAGGCUAAUACUCUGUGUGGAUGACGGUACCGGCAUAAGAAGCACCGGCUAACUACGUGCCAGCCGCCGCCGUAA
rnacentral:rRNA from 1 species